rnacentral:rRNA from 1 species
GACGAACGCUGGCGGCGUGCCUAAUACAUGCAAGUAGAACGCUGAAGAGAGGAGCUUGCUCUUCUUGGAUGAGUUGCGAACGGGUGAGUAACGCGUAGGUAACCUGCCUUGUAGCGGGGGAUAACUAUUGGAAACGAUAGCUAAUACCGCAUAACAAUGGAUGACACAUGUCAUUUAUUUGAAAGGGGCAAUUGCUCCACUACAAGAUGGACCUGCGUUGUAUUAGCUAGUAGGUGAGGUAAUGGCUCACCUAGGCGACGAUACAUAGCCGACCUGAGAGGGUGAUCGGCCACACUGGGACUGAGACCCGGCCCAGACUCCUACGGGAGGCAGCAGUAGGGAAUCUUCGGCAAUGGGGGCAACCCUGACCGAGCAACGCCGCGUGAGUGAAGAAGGUUUUCGGAUCGUAAAGCUCUGUUGUAAGUCAAGAACGGGUGUGAGAGUGGAAAGUUCACACUGUGACGGUAGCUGACCAGAAAGGGACGGCUAACUACGUG